rnacentral:tRNA from 3 species
UCGUUAGCUCAGUGGUAGAGCAGUUGGCUUUUAACCAAUUGGUCGUAGGUUCGACCCCUACACG